GCCUAAAAUCAUUGCCAGCAUUGUGUUUUCCUCUGUCAAAAAAAGAAAACAUUUUGGCGAGGGUAAAAAAACGAACUUUUCCUCUGAUUUAUUCCACUUUACUCAGGCAUAAUGACAGAUACAACACUUCUGACACUUGAAACACAUUCUCUGAAGUCUCUAGAUGUCCAAGGACACCAAGAACAUGCAUAUAACCUUUAGUAAAGUGUAGUAAUUCCUCAUUUACUUUGGGUAUGUCUUUUAGGCGUUUUUUUCCCUAAAAUAGGCUCAGGGCUUGUUGGUUAGUUUCUUUAUAUAUUUACAUAUUUAUUUACUCAUUCUUUAUCCUUUUACACACUUAUUAAUCAAACUAUUUUUUCUUAUAAUUCAUUGACUUAUUUAUGUAUUUACCAAUUUAUUCAUUGACUUCUUGACUCUUUUACUUCUUUAUUUACUAACUUCUUCAACAACUGGCUGAUUUAUUAUUAACUUUUUUUUUGUUGGCUUACUUAUUCACUGACAUGUUUAUUAUCUUGUUUAUUUACGGUUUUCUGUAUUUUUUAUCUCGCUCAUCUUGUAUUUACAGUUAAUAUGAAUUUCUUAGCUCACUUUUGACUUAUUGAUCCAUUUACUUACGAACAGUAUUCGAGGAUCAAUGAUGUUGUGAUCUCAGGUCUAAAGACUAAACCCAUAUCUUAUGCCAAAUCUGUGGGGAAGGUGACAGAGGAAAACAUGUCAGAAGAAGAUCAGGCAACAGUAGAAGAGCAGGUAGUUUCCUUUCUGGAAACCAGAAAGAUUACUAUGGACCGCAGUUUUAUAGAAGCAUGUCAUCCUCUUCCACAAAGAAAUACCACCCAACCUCCAGCUAUUAUCCUCAGAUUCACCAACAGAAACCAUAAGAUAUGGCUACUAAAGCAAUGGAAACAAUUAAGAGGAACAAAUGUAUAUGUAAAUGAACACCUGACCAAAAGAAAUGCUGACAUUGCAAAGAAAGCACGGUUCCUUCGUAAACAGGGAAAAAUCCAGUCAACCUGGACCUCCAGCUGCAAGAUUUUCAUAAAGCUCAACGGCUCACCAGAAGAAGCUAAGGUCAAAAUCAUUAGAGAUCUGACUGAACUAGAUGUCUACCUGUAACCGCGCCAUACUACCUGAAUGAUGAUCUAUGACUGUGUUCUUCUUUGCAUAAUCUUACAAAUUGUGCAUUAUGUCCAACCAUCUUUAUGCUGAUGGGGUGUCUACCCCCCAUGAUACGGAUCCUCUAGCCUUUAAUCCAUUUGACCUAAACUCAGAUAACAGAGGUAUCUACGAUGAAUUUUUCAACCCAGAUAUAAAUCUCUCAAACUCAAACAAUGUAAUUCGAUCAUGUAAAUACUAUUCUGAAGAUCAGUUCAAUGAUCUGUCCCGUACUCUUGCUCCUGAUGACUCUUAUAUCCUAAAGACUUUUCAGCGUGGCAAUUAAAUGUUCGCAGUUUACCAAAAAAUUUUGACAACCUAAAAAUAUACUUAUCAACCCUAACUUUUUCUUUCUCAGUAAUGGCACUCUCAGAAACCUGGCUAAAGGAUGAUAUCACAGAUCUUUACGCUAUAUCUCAGUAUAAUGCUAUUCAUUCAUGCAGAAGAAAUAAGGUCGGAGGAGGAGUUUCCCUAUAUGUGCUCAAAGACUACAACUUUACCACUAGAAAAGAAAUCUCAGAACCUCUAGAAAACAUACGAGUGGAAUCUGUAUUUAUCGAAAUCUCUUCUUGUCGUCCCCUUCAUGGGAAAAAUAUUAUAAUUGGGUGUGUCUACAGACCUCCUGACACUGACCCAAUUUCAUUCAAUGAGGCUCUUUACUCCUCCCUUGAGUUUAUAACCAAGGAGCAUAAACUGUGUGUUCUUAUGGGUGAUUUCAAUAUCGACCUGCUUAAGAGUGAAUUACCCUCUACCGUUGACUUUCUGAACAAUCUUUACUCAACCUACUUCUUUCCACUAAUUCUCAAACCAUCCAGAAUCACCAAAUCAUCAGCUUCUCUCAUUGACAAUAUCAUAAUCAAUUCACUUGACUAUGAAAUCACCUCUGGGUUGUUAAUAUCUGACAUCUCCGACCACCUCCCCGUAUUCCAAAUCAUACAUACUAAAGGAAAUUAUAAACGCAAAAACUCUGACUACCUGCAAAGCAAAUCUCGCAUCUACAAUAAAAAGAACAUGGAAUCCUUUAAAUCUUCCAUCCGUACAGUGUCCUGGAAUGAGGUCCUCAACUCAUCAGAUGUUAAUGAAGCUUACCAGCUAUUUUUAACUACAUUUGAAUCAAUUCUCGAAGCUAGCUUUCCGCUAGUCACCGCUAUGAAGAGUAACUCAUCCAAAGGAAAACCCUGGAUGACGGGUGAACUAAAAAAGUACUCUCGUAAAAAAAAAAAAAACUAUAUCGGAAAGCUAUUAACAAUCCUACUCCUGAAAAUAUUGUAAAAUAUAAAAAAUAUAAAAAUAAAUUUACUGCAUCCUUAAGGAAGGUUAAAAAAACAUAUUAUGCUGAUAAGUUUACCCAAGCUGCCAAUAACAUUAAAGCAACCUGGAAUCUCAUCAACCAAUUACUUAAUCAAAAAAAAACUACUGCUACUGUAGCUGUUGAAAUGAUGGGAAAGGAUGGGCCUCUACAUGACCAGAGUGACAUAGCAGAGAGUUUUAAUGAUUUCUUUAUAAACGUCAGUACUUCCUUGGCUUCUAGCAUGAAAGACUCAGAUGUAAAUCCCACAAGUUUCAUGAAAGGCACAUUUUCAACACUCUCUAGUUUUGAUCCUCCCAGUUUAGAAGAGGUCCAUGACAUUGUUAGGAAUUUAAAGGACUCUGCUCAGGGUCACGAUGGUAUUAAAAGCAGUCUUGUCAAAGAAUCUAUAGAUUAAAUCAUUCACCCUUUAACCCACAUUCUCUCUUUAUCCCUUCUGUCUGGUAUUGUCCCUCGAGAUCUAAAAAUUGCCAAAGUUACUCCAAUAUUUAAAUCAGGCAAUACAAGAGAUUUUGGCAACUAUCGCCCAAUAUCUGUUCUACCCUGUUUUUCCAAAAUCUUGGAAAAACUAGUCUAUGCGAGAAUCUCCGACCACUUGACGGUUAAUAAUGUUUUGUAUAAUCACCAAUACGGGUUCCGCAAAAAACACUCAACUGAGCAUGCAUUGCUGCAACUUGUUAAUACUGUUUCCUCUGCUCUAGAUGGGAAAAAAAUUGCCCUUGGUGUCUUUCUUGAUUUAAGCAAAGCUUUUGACACUGUCGAUCACAAAAUCCUCAUUUCAAAGCUUAACAGAUAUGGAAUCCAGAAUAUUGCCCUCAACUGGCUGAUCAGUUAUCUAGAUAAUAGAGAACAGUUUGUUCAUCUAAAUGGUGCUUCAUCCACUAAAUCCAGUAUUCUCUUUGGGGUCCUUCAGGGAUC